rnacentral:rRNA from 1 species
UACGUAGGUGGCGAGCGUUGUCCGGAUUUACUGGGCGUAAAGAGCGCGCAGGCGGUCUUGUAAGUCGAAUGUGAAAGCCCCUGGCUCAACCAGGGAGGGUCAUUCGAUACUGCUCGACUUGAAGGCAGGAGAGGGAAGCGGAAUUCCCGGUGUAGUGGUGAAAUGCGUAGAUAUCGGGAGGAACACCAGUGGCGAAGGCGGCUUUCUGGCCUGUUCUUGACGCUGAGGCGCGAAAGCUAGGGGAGCAAACGGG